AAUACAUGCAAGUCGAGCGAACCACUUCGGUGGUUAGCGGCGAACGGGUGAGUAACACGUAGGUCAUCUGCCCACAAGACGGGGAUAACGUUUGGAAACGAACGCUAAUACCGGAUAGGAGGCAACUUUAAAGAAGCUCUCGGGCUUCGCUUGUGGAUGAGCCUGCGGCGCAUUAGCUAGUUGGUGGGGUAAGGGCCUACCAAGGCAACGAUGCGUAGCCGACCUGAGAGGGUGAACGGCCACACUGGGACUGAGACACGGCCCAGACUCCUACGGGAGGCAGCAGUAGGGAAUCUUCGGCAAUGGACGAAAGUCUGACCGAGCAACGCCGCGUGAGUGAAGAAGGUUUUCGGAUCGUAAAACUCUGUUAUAAGGGAAGAACGGCUGGAGCAGGAAAUGGCUCCAGUGUGACGGUACCUUAUGAGAAAGCCACGGCUAACUACGUGCCAGCAGCCGCGGUAAUACGUAGGUGGCGAGCGUUAUCCGGAAUUAUUGGGCGUAAAGAGCGCGCAGGCGGUUUGUUAAGUCUGAUGUGAAAGCCCCCGGCUCAACCGGGGAGGGUCAUUGGAAACUGGCGAACUUGAAUGCAGAAGAGGGUAGUGGAAUUCCAUGUGUAGCGGUGAAAUGCGUAGAGAUAUGGAGGAACACCAGUGGCGAAGGCGGCUACCUGGUCUGUUAUUGACGCUGAGGCGCGAAA
rnacentral:rRNA from 1 species